GCGGCAUGCCUAACACAUGCAAGUCGAACGGCAGCACAGUAAAGACUUCGGUCUUUAUGGGUGGCGAGUGGCGGACGGGUGAGUAACACGUGAGCAAUCUGCCGAUCUCUGGGGGAUAGCCGGCCCAACGGCCGGGUAAUACCGCAUACGCUCAUCGGGGGACAUCCCCUGGUGAGGAAACCUCCGGGGGAGAUCGAGGAGCUCGCGACCUAUCAGCUAGUUGGUGAGGUAACGGCUCACCAAGGCGACGACGGGUAGCUGGUCUGAGAGGAUGGCCAGCCACAUUGGGACUGCGACACGGCCCAGACUCCUACGGGAGGCAGCAGUGGGGAAUAUUGCGCGAUGGACGAAAGUCUGACGCAGCGACGCCGCGUGUGGGAUGAAGCUCUUCGGGGUGUAAACCACUGUUGCCAGGGAAGAACCUCCUGAUUUUUCAGGACUGACGGUACCUGGUGAGGAAGCACCGGCUAACUCUGUGCCAGCCGCCGCGGUAA
rnacentral:rRNA from 1 species